AACGAACGCUGGCGGCAUGCCUAACACAUGCAAGUCGAACGAAGUCUUCGGACUUAGUGGCGCACGGGUGCGUAACGCGUGGGAAUCUGCCCUUGGGUGCGGAAUAACUUCUCGAAAGGGAUGCUAAUACCGCAUAAUGUCGUAAGACCAAAGAUUUAUCGCCCAAGGAUGAGCCCGCGUAAGAUUAGCUAGUUGGUGGGUAAAAGCCUACCAAGGCGACGAUCUUUAGCUGGUCUGAGAGGAUGAUCAGCCACACUGGGACUGAGACACGGCCCAGACUCCUACGGGAGGCAGCAGCGGGGAAUAUUGGACAAUGGGCGAAAGCCUGAUCCAGCAAUGCCGCGUGAGUGAUGAAGGCCCUAGGGUUGUAAAGCUCUUUUACCAGGGAUGAUAAUGACAGUACCUGGAGAAUAAGCUCCGGCUAACUCCGUGCCAGCAGCCGCGGUAAU
rnacentral:rRNA from 1 species